AGAUCUACCGUACGAUAAAGAUCCGAAGUAACAACAGUUAGAUAAAUAAGAAACCUAAAGACUCUUCCAAGCUAAACACCAUCAAAGAAAGCGAGUCAAUACAUGUAAUCGAUAUAGACCUCUAGGUGGUACCCCAUAAAUAAAGUGGAACACCAAGCAAGCUAUCCCUGCAAGAGUAUGUGAGCCCUCACAAAAACUCAACAAACAGGUUAGAGAAAC
rnacentral:lncRNA from 1 species